GCCGCCUUAGCUCAGUCGGUCAGAGCGACGCACUCGUAAUGCGUAGGUCGGGGGUUCGACUCCCCCAGGCGGCU
rnacentral:tRNA from 2 species